rnacentral:tRNA from 1 species
GCGCCAGUGGUGUAAUGGCGUAAAGCAUUUCCGACCGGUCAAAAGAAGGUGCGGGUUCGAGUCCCGCUUGGCGCU